AUGCAGAAUGAAGCAUUUUCCUCUCGUCACAAAAAAGGUAUGACAACUCACAAUGCUGAGGAGAUUCAGUUGGUCGACAUAGUUACUGAUCUCGAAUUGGUGUGGGACGGGCUCGAGCCACGAGGUAUAGCCUCUCGCUAUGUCACCUCCCCGAGUGAUGCGUUCCGGAUCAUCGGGCACGGUAGAGCCGGCAAAACAGGCUGA